CGAAAACGACUUUUUCAGGAUUUUCAAAGUGCUCUCAUUCCCUUAGUUCUGCUCGGAUCCUCUUAUAACCCGGUGUUUUCGUAAUCUAGGUGACCCAAAUAAUACGCUGGUAUACUUAGUUUGAUUUCGAAAAAAAUCAAUUUUUGGUGAAAAAAUUCGAUACGGGGGGGGUAUACCCGAAAAAUGAAAAAACCUAAACUUUGAAGGUCGAUAUCUCGGCUUCUAUGGGAGCUAUCGGGAAAAUUCCAACGGUUUUGUCUUAGUUUCGUCAUUUUGAAUCUAACGAGACCAUCCGCAAGGUCGUAGCUCUUACGAUAGCCGAGAUAUGGCAUUUUUGAUGCCCAUUUUUGGCCUCAAAAACGGACGACGAAAACGACUUUUUCAGGAUUUUCAAAGUGCUCUCAUUCCCUUAGUUCUGCUCGGAUCCUGUUAUAACCCGGUGUUUUCGUAAUCUAGGUGACCCAAAUAAUACGCUGGUAUACUUAGUUUGAUUUCGAAAAAAAUCAAUUUUUGGUGAAAAAAUUCGAUACGGGGGGGUAUACCCGAAAAAUGAAAAAACCCAAACUUUGAAGGUCGAUAUCUCGGCUUCUAUGGGAGCUAUCGGGAAAAUUCCAACGGUUUUGUCUUAGUUUCGUCAUUUUGAAUCCAACGAGACCAUCCGCAAGGUCGUAGCUCUUACGAUAGCCGAGAUAUGGCAUUUUUGAUGCCCAUUUUUGGCCUCAAAAACGGACGUCGAAAACGACUUUUUCAGGAUUUUCAAAGUGCUCUCAUUCCCUUAGUUCUGCUCGGAUCCUCUUAUAACCCGGUGUUUUCGUAAUCUAGGUGACCCAAAUAAUACGCUGGUAUACUUAGUUUGAUUUCGAAAAAAAUCAAUUUUUGGUGAAAAAAUUCGAUACGGGGGGGUAUACCCGAAAAAUGAAAAAACCCAAACUUUGAAGGUCGAUAUCUCGGCUUCUAUGGGAGCUAUCGGGAAAAUUCCAACGGUUUUGUCUUAGUUUCGUCAUUUUGAAUCCAACGAGACCAUCCGCAAGGUCGUAGCUCUUACGAUAGCCGAGAUAUGGCAUUUUUGAUGCCCAUUUUUGGCCUCAAAAACGGACGUCGAAAACGACUUUUUCAGGAUUUUCAAAGUGCUCUCAUUCCCUUAGUUCUGCUCGGAUCCUCUUAUAAC